rnacentral:rRNA from 1 species
GAUGAACGCUGGCGGCGUGCCUAAUACAUGCAAGUCGAACGCAUUGUGGUUGAAAUGAUAUGAAGAACUUGUUCAGAUUUGAUUUUCAACAUUGCAAUGAGUGGCGAACGGGUGAGUAACACGUGGGAAACCUACCUCUUAGCAGGGGAUAACAUUUGGAAACAAAUGCUAAUACCGUAUAAUAAUUAAAACCGCAUGGUUUUAGUUUAAAAGAUGGUCUUGCUAUCACUAAGAGAUGGUCCCGCGGUGUAUUAGUUAGUUGGUGAGGUAAUGGCUCACCAAGACAAUGAUACAUAGCCGAGUUGAGAGACUGACCGGCCACAAUGGGACUGAGACACGGCCCAUACUCCUACGGGAGGCAGCAGUAGGGAAUCUUCCACAAUGACGAAAGUCUGAUGGAGCAACGCCGCGUGUGUGAUGAAGGGUUUCGGCUCGUAAAACACUGUUGUAAGAGAAGAAUGACAUUGAGAGUAACUGUUCAAUGUGUGACGGUAUCUU